AGUUUAAGAACCACUAAUAGAGAAUCCUUCCAAGGAAUCCUUCGAUUUUUAUACUUAACCGAGAAGAAAAUAUAUAAUAGUUUCUUUACUGAAAUUUCAAAUCACUUUGUAGAAGAAAGCGCUGCCGAGUUGGAGAAAAUUGGCGUAUAGUUUGUACUUGUUUGUCUAUGCUGUAAAUUUUUGUGUAAACUGCUAUAAUUUUUUUUCAAUUAGUCAUAAAUUAUUUUGUACCCUCAAAAAGUCUACUUUAAUUUGGAGCUGUAACUUGCUAUCGUGUAUCACAAACACUUGCUUGUAUAGGAUGAAAAUAAAUUAAGUAAACUCGAAAAAAAGUACAUACAAUCCAAAAAAAAACUUGUUAAAUUUCUAACCUGCUUGCAGUUUUCCCACAUUCACCGCAAAAUAAUGAAAUCCAGGGCAAAUAAAACCGCCGAGAUUCCCAUCGCCGGAUUGAGAUCGGGUCAGGUAGCCGAUCUUUAGGGGCACAAAACAAUUAGCCAGGCCCACAAAAUGAUACACAAACAGAGCGCAAAUUGGGCAGCCACUUGUCCGACCUCAAAGCGAAAGCGCCGCCAAUUCAAGCGGACUAACAAGGACCUCAUAAUCAUGCCCAUGCCCAUGCCCUUGCCCGUUCCCAACUGAUCCGAGCCAGAAAUAAACACAAAUAUUGACGUAGCCUAUCGCACGCGAUCUACGCUCCCCUCCGCUCCUCCCCAGGAAUAUGGAAUAUGGCCAGAGAUCAGAGGCCUCGACCGCUGACCAAUUCGAGAUGACUUGGCAAGUUGGCAACUCCGAAUUAUUUCAAUCUGAUGACGCGGCUCCUUUCGGGCGGUGGCAUGAUAAAAAGCUGGCGAUAAACCGCUUGAUGCUCAGUAGUUUAAAAAGGGAAAUAUAGGGCGGUAUUGAGCCUUAAAGGAAAGUGAUUAGA